CAACAGUAAGAAAGUUUAAAAAGUAGUACUUUAUGGGCUUUAAUCACCAUGGCAUGCAUACAAAUUCAGUAAGAAUUCUGAAGCUGCCAAAUUUUCAUGCUUUUUAAAGACUGUGUGACUCUCAGUUCUCAACCAAAGGGGGAAAAAUACUUUUGAAAAGGAGCUUUUAAGGCCACAGUGUCCUCGGCAGCCACAAGCCUUUUAAGUCAGAGAGCCACACUGGCAUACCUAGCAAGGUCAGUAAGCUCCUGCAGGAGGGACAUUUUGGAAACCCUAGUUUCAGGAUUCAACAAGAACAAACAUUUCUCUUAAAAAAAUACUUUCAGGUAACCAAUCAGAUUUUGUUUCUAGAUAGGGCUGAAACAACCUU
rnacentral:lncRNA from 1 species